CCUUCGGGCGCUGACGAGUGGCGGACGGGUGAGUAAGGACUGGGAAACUGGCUGAUAGAGGGGGACAACAGCUGGAAACGGGUGGUAAUACCGCAUAAUACCUGAGGGUUAAAGACGCAAGUCGCUAUCAGAUGUGCCCAGUUGGGAUUAGCUAGUAGGUGAGGUAAAGGCUCACCUAGGCGAUGAUCUCUAGCUGGUCUGAGAGGAUGAUACAGCCACAUUGGGACUGAGAAACGGCCCAGACUCCUACGGGAGGCAGCCAGUAGGGAAUAUUGCACAAUGGGGGGAACCCUGAUGCAGCCAUGCCGGGUGUGUGAAGAAGGCUUCGGGUUGUAAAGCACUUUCACAGGGGAGGAAGAAUGACGUUACCCUGAGAAGAAGCACCGGCUAACUCCGCGCCAGCAGCCGCGGUAAUACGGAGGGUGCAAGCGUUAAUCGGAAUAACUGGGCGUAAAGGGCAUGGAGGCGGAUAAGCAAGUAAGGUGUGAAAUACCCGGGCUCAACCUGGGAACUGCACUUUAAACUACGGAUCUAGAGUAUUGCAGGGGGAGAUGGAAUUCCAGGUGUAGCGGUGGAAUGCGUAGAUAUCUGGAAGAACACCAGAGGCGAAGGCGAUCUCCUGGGCAAAUACUGACGCUCAUAUGCGAAAGCGUGGGAAGCAAACAGGAUUAGAUACCCUGGUAGUCCAUGCUGUAAACGAUGUCAAUUAGAAGUCUGAACGAUAGUUUGGGUUUCAAAGCAAACGCAUUAAAUUGACCGCCUGGGGAGUACGGCCGCAAGGUUAAAACUCAAAUGAAUUGACGGGGGCCCGCACAAGCGGUGGAGCAUGUGGUUUAAUUCGACGCAACGCGAAGAACCUUACCUGACCUUGACAUCCAUGGAAUCA
rnacentral:rRNA from 1 species